rnacentral:rRNA from 1 species
UUUGGUUAAGUUAGAAAGGGCGCACGGUGGAUGCCUUGACACUAGGAGUCGAUGAAGGACGGGACUAACGCCGAUAUGCUUCGGGGAGCUGUAAGUAAGCUUUGAUCCGAAGAUUUCCGAAUGGGGAAACCCACCAUACGUAAUGGUAUGGUAUCCUUAUCUGAAUACAUAGGGUAAGGAAGACAGACCCAGGGAACUGAAACAUCUAAGUACCUGGAGGAAGAGAAAGCAAAUGCGAUUUCCUGAGUAGCGGCGAGCGAAACGGAACAUAGCCCAAACCAAGAGGCUUGCCUCUUGGGGUUGUAGGACUUUCUUUACGGAGUUACAAAGGAACUAGGUAGACGAAGCGACCUGGAAAGGUCCGUCGUAGAGGGUAACAACCCCGUAGUCGAAACUUCGUUCUCUCUUGAAUGUAUCCUGAGUACGGCGGAACACGUGAAAUUCCGUCGGAAUCUGGGAGGACCAUCUCCCAAGGCUAAAUACUCCCUAGUGAUCGAUAGUGAACCAGUACCGUGAGGGAAAGGUGAAAAGCACCCCGGAAGGGGAGUGAAAGAGAUCCUGAAACCGUGUGCCUACAAAUAGUCAGAGCCCGUUAACGGGUGAUGGCGUGCCUUUUGUAGAAUGAACCGGCGAGUUACGAUCCCGUGCGAGGUUAAGCUGAAGAGGCGGAGCCGCAGCGAAAGCGAGUCUGAAUAGGGCGUUUAGUACGUGGUCGUAGACCCGAAACCAGGUGAUCUACCCAUGUCCAGGGUGAAGUUCAGGUAACACUGAAUGGAGGCCCGAACCCACGCACGUUGAAAAGUGCGGGGAUGAGGUGUGGGUAGCGGAGAAAUUCCAAUCGAACCUGGAGAUAGCUGGUUCUCCCCGAAAUAGCUUUAGGGCUAGCCUUAAGUGUAAGAGUCUUGGAGGUAGAGCACUGAUUGGACUAGGGGUCCUCAUCGGAUUACCGAAUUCAGUCAAACUCCGAAUGCCAAUGACUUAUCCUUAGGAGUCAGACUGCGAGUGAUAAGAUCCGUAGUCAAAAGGGAAACAGCCCAGACCGCCAGCUAAGGUCCCAAAGUGUGUAUUAAGUGGAAAAGGAUGUGGAGUUGCUUAGACAACUAGGAUGUUGGCUUAGAAGCAGCCACCAUUUAAAGAGUGCGUAAUAGCUCACUAGUCGAGUGACUCUGCGCCGAAAAUGUACCGGGGCUAAAUACACCACCGAAGCUGCGGAUUGAUACCAAUGGUAUCAGUGGUAGGGGAGCGUUCUAAGGACAGUGAAGUCAGACCGGAAGGACUGGUGGAGUGCUUAGAAGUGAGAAUGCCGGUAUGAGUAGCGAAAGACGGGUGAGAAUCCCGUCCACCGAAUGCCUAAGGUUUCCUGAGGAAGGCUCGUCCGCUCAGGGUUAGUCAGGACCUAAGCCGAGGCCGACAGGCGUAGGCGAUGGACAACAGGUUGAUAUUCCUGUACCACCUCUUUAUCGUUUGAGCAAUGGAGGGACGCAGAAGGAUAGAAGAAGCGUGCGAUUGGUUGUGCACGUCCAAGCAGUUAGGCUGAUAAGUAGGCAAAUCCGCUUAUCGUAAAGGCUGAGCUGUGAUGGGGAAGCUCCUUAUGGAGCGAAGUCUUUGAUUCCCCGCUGCCAAGAAAAGCUUCUAGCGAGAUAAAAGGUGCCUGUACCGCAAACCGACACAGGUAGGCGAGGAGAGAAUCCUAAGGUGUGCGAGAGAACUCUGGUUAAGGAACUCGGCAAAAUGACCCCGUAACUUCGGGAGAAGGGGUGCUUUCUUAACGGAAAGCCGCAGUGAAUAGGCCCAAGCGACUGUUUAGCAAAAACACAGCUCUCUGCGAAGCCGUAAGGCGAAGUAUAGGGGGUGACACCUGCCCGGUGCUGGAAGGUUAAGGAGAGGGGUUAGCGUAAGCGAAGCUCUGAACUGAAGCCCCAGUAAACGGCGGCCGUAACUAUAACGGUCCUAAGGUAGCGAAAUUCCUUGUCGGGUAAGUUCCGACCCGCACGAAAGGUGUAACGAUUUGGGCACUGUCUCAACCAGAGACUCGGUGAAAUUAUAGUACCUGUGAAGAUGCAGGUUACCCGCGACAGGACGGAAAGACCCCGUGGAGCUUUACUGUAGCCUGAUAUUGAAUUUUGGUACAGUUUGUACAGGAUAGGCGGGAGCCAUUGAAACCGGAGCGCUAGCUUCGGUGGAGGCGCUGGUGGGAUACCGCCCUGACUGUAUUGAAAUUCUAACCUACGGGUCUUAUCGACCCGGGAGACAGUGUCAGGUGGGCAGUUUGACUGGGGCGGUCGCCUCCUAAAGUGUAACGGAGGCGCCCAAAGGUUCCCUCAGAAUGGUUGGAAAUCAUUCGUAGAGUGCAAAGGCAUAAGGGAGCUUGACUGCGAGACCUACAAGUCGAGCAGGGACGAAAGUCGGGCUUAGUGAUCCGGUGGUCCCGCAUGGAAGGGCCUUCGCUCAACGGAUAAAAGCUACCCCGGGGAUACCAGGCUUUUCUCCCCCAAGAGUCCACAUCGACGGGGAGGUUUGGCACCUCGAUGUCGGCUCAUCGCAUCCUGGGGCUGUAGUCGGUCCCAAGGGUUGGGCUGUUCGCCCAUUAAAGCGGUACGCGAGCUGGGUUCAGAACGUCGUGAGACAGUUCGGUCCCUAUCCGUCGUGGGCGUAGGAAAUUUGAGAGGAGCUGUCCUUAGUACGAGAGGACCGGGAUGGACGCACCGCUGGUGUACCAGUUGUUCUGCCAAGGGCAUAGCUGGGUAGCUAUGUGCGGAAGGGAUAAGUGCUGAAAGCAUCUAAGCAUGAAGCCCCCCUCAAGAUGAGAUUUCCCAUAGCGUAAGCUAGUAAGAUCCCUGAAAGAUGAUCAGGUUGAUAGGUUCGAGGUGGAAGCAUGGUGACAUGUGGAGCUGACGAAUACUAAUAGAUCGAGGACUUAACCAUA